GAGCAUCCAUCCUCACUUUUUCUUGUUCUCUCACAGUUGCAAGCUUUCCUCUCUCUCUCUCUCUCUCUCUCACUCAUCACCUUCAACUCCAGCCCUUACAUGCGACCUUUCUUCCUAAAAAUCGAACCACUCCAGCUCCUUCAGCCUUCCUUGCAUGUUCUGCCUCCUUAAACGAAGCAUCACCUCACUUCUCAUAGGAUUUUUCUAUGGUCAUGUUGGGUAUGACUCAUACUUCACAUUCAGAUGAGCACUCUUGCUAGCGAGGUCCAAUUGCCCGGGGCAACCAGGUGUGGUUAGCGCUAGGAGGGAGGAAAAUAAGAAAGCUCAAGCAUCGAAUAAAAAUUUACAUCCUUAAGGUUCAGGUAGUAUGGGGACUGAUGCCUCUGCUGCAAGAGGCCAGAGCUUAGUUGAUGAUUAUUGCCGUUAUAUUUAUGCUGGCAUGACUGGAUUGGAUGUUGUUUAUGUUUUCGCAUUAUUAUUAUGUUGUUGAUGUUGAGACUAUGUUGGGCUUGUGCCUUAUUUGGGUGAGCAUGGAAUUUGUUCAUGCCACUUGGUUGUUAGUACUUUUACGUUGAGUUGUAUAAACUAUUAGGAUUGUCCGGGCUAUGUGUUGUAGUUCCGUGACAAGAGACCUAGUGUAAUGAUUUA